AGCAGCCGCGGUAAUUCCAGCUCCAAUAGCGUAUAUUAAAGUUGUUGCAGUUAAAAAGCUCGUAGUUGAAUUUCGGGGUUAGUAGGUCGGUCGUGCCACUGGUAUGUACUGGUUCUACUGAUCCCUCCUUCUUGUAGAACCGUAAUGCCAUUUACUUGGUGUUGCGGAGAAACAGGACUGUUACUUUGAAAAAAUUAGAGUAGUUUAAAGCAAGCUAACGCUUGAAUACAUUAGCAUGGAAUAAUGAAAUAGGACGUUCGAUCCUAUUUUGUUGGUUUCUAGGAUUGACGUAAUGAUUAAUAGGGAUAGUUGGGGGCAUUAGUAUUCAAUUGUCAGAGGUGAAAUUCUUGGAUUUAUUGAAGACUAACUACUGUCGAAAGCAUUUGCCAAGGAUGUUUUCAUUAAUCAAGAACGAAAGUUAGGGGGUCGAAGACGAUCAGAUACCGUCGUAGUCUUAACCAUAAACUAUGCCGACUAGGGAUCGGAUGAUGUUAAUUUUUUAUGUACUCAUUCGGCGCCU
rnacentral:rRNA from 1 species